UACGUAGGUGGCAAGCGUUGUCCGGAUUUACUGGGCGUAAAGAGCGCGCAGGCGGUCGGUCAAGUCGCGUGUGAAAGCCCCCGGCUCAACUGGGGAGGGUCACGCGAUACUGAUCGACUCGAAGGCAGGAGAGGGUAGUGGAAUUCCCAGUGUAGUGGUGAAAUGCGUAGAUAUCGGGAGGAACACCAGUGGCGAAGGCGACUACCUGGCCUGUUCUUGACGCUGAGGCGCGAAAGCUAGGGGAGCAAACGGG
rnacentral:rRNA from 1 species